GACGAACGCUGGCGGCGUGCUUAACACAUGCAAGUCGUGCGGAAAGGCCCCUUUGGGGGUGCUCGAGCGGCGAACGGGUGAGUAACACGUGAGUAAUCUGCCCUGCACUUUGGGAUAACUGCCGGAAACGGUGGCUAAUACUGGAUAGGACUGCAUCCUGCAUGGGGUGUGGUGGAAAGCCUUUGGGUGGUGUGGGAUGUGCUCGCGGCCUAUCAGCUUGAUGGUGGGGUAGUGGCCUACCAUGGCUUUGACGGGUAGCCGGCCUGAGAGGGUGACCGGUCACACUGGGACUGAGACACGGCCCAGACUCCUGCGGGAGGCAGCAGUGGGGAAUAUUGGACAAUGGGCGGAAGCCUGAUCCAGCAACGCCGCGUGAGGGAUGACGGCCUCGGUUGUAACC
rnacentral:rRNA from 1 species